UCUUCGAGAAACAGAGAGAAGCGGUGGGGCGUGGGGAGAAGAAGAAGAGAAGUAGAGGGAGAAGAGAAGAAGAGGGAAAAGAAGAGAGGAAGAAGAGGAAGAAGAGGGAGAAGAGAAGAAAAGAAGAAGUAGAAGAGAGGGAAGAUGGAGAGGAGAAAGAGAGGCAGCUGCAGCAGCUAGGGCUGCAGCACCUCUGUUUCCCGCAGGUGGAAACAGAGGAGAGGAUGUGUGGGGCGUUGAGGAUGAAAAGGGAAGAAGAAGAAGAAGAAGAAGAAGAAGAAGAUAGCUGCGGCAAGGCUGCAGCGAGGAGGUGUGUGGCGUUGGGGAGGAAAAGGGAAGAGGAGAAGAAGAGAAGGAGAAGAAGAGGGAAAAGAGAGGGACGGGGGAGAGGAGCGAGAGGUGGCAGCAGCUAGGGCUGCAGCACCUCUAUUUCCUGCAGGUGGAAACAGAGGAGAGGUGUGGGGCGUUCGAAGAGGAGAAGAAGAAGAAGAGGAAGCAGGAGAAGAGGUUGUGAUACCUCUGUUUCCUGCAGAGGAAACAGAGGAGAGGGUGUGUGUGACGCCGGGGAAGAAGGGGCUGCAGCUGCGGCGAUGGCAGCUGCAGUUGGAAGAGAAGAAGAAGAGGAAGAUGAGCAGGGGAGGAGGGAGAGGUUACGGCCGUGGCUGCGGCCGCGACUGCAGCAGUUGCAGCGGGGAGAGAAGAAGAAGAAAGGAAGGAGAAGGAAGAGGAGAAGGGAAAGAAGUAGCUGCGGCUGCAGUUGUGGCAGCUGCAGCUAUGGCAGGGAAAGAGGAAGAGAAAAAGGAAGGAAGAAGAAGAGAAAGGAAAGGAGAGGAAGAAGAGAGGAAGAGGAGAAGGGGCUGCGGCUGCGGCGAUGGCAGCUGCAGCUGUGGCUGGGAAAGAAGAGAAGGAAAGGAAGAAGAAGAGAAAGGGAAGGAGAGGAAGAAGAGAGGAAGAGGAGAAGGGGUGGCAGCUGCGGUAGUGGCAGCUGCAGUUGGAAGAGAAGUAGGAGAGGAAAUAGAGUAGCGGAGGAAGAAGAGGCUGCGGUUAUGGUGGCUGCGGCCAUGGCUGCGACUGUGACUGCGGCAGUUGCAGCUGGGAAAGAAAGGAAAGGAAAGGGGGAAAAAGGGGCUGCGGACGGGAUUGCGGCCGCAGCGGCAGCGACUGCGUAUGCAGCAGUUAUGUCUGCGAGAGAAGGGAGGAAGGAAGGUAGUGCGGUGGAAGGGGCUGCGAUUGUGGCAGCGGCAGCGGCGGCGGCUGUGGCAGCUGCGUUUGGGAAAGAAAAAGAAUGAAUGAGAGUAAGAGAGAGCAGGUGACUGUGCCUCGAUGUUCGACACAUGGUGUAGUUGCGAAGAAAGGAAGAAAACGGGAGCACAAAACGAAACAGAGAGAGGACACGGAGGAAAAGUAGAAGGAUUUGGGCUAGCACCUUCUUUGGAUCUUCGGAUCGAAAUCCUUGAAAGGUCAGCUUGUCACUCUUCGAGAUGUUUGAUUUGGGCUGAGGCAGUGGAUAGCUAUUCAGAAUUAUGGGCAAGUCCUGUUGGUUGUUAUGCUAUUGUUGUAUAAGCAUAUUUUGUAUGUAAUGAAUUGUUCUGAUGAUCGAAAUGGAUAUACUGUGUAAAAGUGUUAGAAGAUCUCUCUUAUUUGGAAUUUCGGAAUGUUAUGUCUAAUUUAUGACGAUAUGAACUUGUGGUGAAUAGUUGGAGUUCUGAUUGUAUAAUUUAUUUAGCUUGUGGAUUUAUAAA